AACAGCAGCCAUAUCACUCUGUAGCCCAAGACUGGUUGCCCACUGAAGCUAAGCAGGGCUGAGCUUGGUCAGUACCUGGAUGGGAGACCUCCUGAGAAAACUAGGUUGCUGCUGGAA
ensembl:rRNA 5S_rRNA 5S ribosomal RNA